UGGAGUAUAAAGAAAAUACUGCCUCAUUAAAACAUUGUUAGGAAAAUUCAAUGGGACAAAACCUAGAAUAAGGAAAAAAGAGUACAGCUACUCCCUUUGAUGAAAAUCAUUGAAGAUCUUUGAGUCGAUGCAUUCCAAUCCUUUGAACCAAUUUCUUGAAUGUAGAUGUUGGCAAUAUUUUUGUGAAUAAAUUGGCCACAUUGUCACUUGAGCGAAUUUGUUGGAUAUCGAUGUCGUCAUUCUUUUAAAAUUCGUGUAUAUGAAAGAAUUUUGGAGAAAUAUGUUUUGUCAUAUCACCUUUGAUAUAGCCUCUUUUAAGUUGUGCAAUACAAGUUAUUUUGUUUUCAUACAAAAUUGUUAGACUAUCUUUUGUUGAAGUUAACUCGCAUGAUACUUGGAUAUGAUAAAUCAUGCUUCUAAACUAUACAACUUUUCUUUUCUUUCUAUUUCUUUUCUAUAAUGACAUAACUUAUUG
rnacentral:lncRNA from 1 species